UACGGAGGGGGCUAGCGUUGUUCGGAAUUACUGGGCGUAAAGCGCGCGUAGGCGGACCUGCAAGUCGGGGGUGAAAGCCCGAGGCUCAACCUCGGAACUGCCUUUGAUACUGGCGACCUUGAGUUCGGGAGAGGUGAGUGGAACUGCGAGUGUAGAGGUGAAAUUCGUAGAUAUUCGCAAGAACACCAGUGGCGAAGGCGGCUCACUGGCCCGAUACUGACGCUGAGGUGCGAAAGCGUGGGGAGCAAACAGG
rnacentral:rRNA from 1 species